GACGAACGCUGGCGGCGUGCCUAACACAUGCAAGUGGAGCGACGAACCAGGCUUCGGCCUGGGGCAAAGCCGCGAACGGGUGAGUAACACGUGGGUAACCUGCCCCGAUGAUUGGGACGAACCCGACGGAAACUCGGGCGUAAUAACCGAAUGUGCCCUACCAGCUUCAAGGCUGGUGGGGAAAGGAAGCUUCGGCCUCCGCAUCGGGAUGGGCCCGCGGCCCAUUAGCUUGUUGGUGAGGUAACGGCNCACCAAGGCUACGAUGGUAGCUGGUCUGAGAGGACGAUCAGCCACACUGGGACUGAGACACGGCCCAGACUCCUACGGGAGGCAGCAGUGGGGAAUCUUGCGCAAUGCGCGAAAGCGUGACGCAGCAACGCCGCGUGGGGGAAGACGGCCUCGGUGU
rnacentral:rRNA from 1 species